UAGGGAAUCUUCCGCAAUGGACGCAAGUCUGACGGAGCAACGCCGCGUGAGUGAAGAAGGAUUUCGGUUCGUAAAACUCUGUUGUUAGAGAAGAACAGCGCAUAGAGUAACUGUUAUGCGUGUGACGGUAUCUAACCAGAAAGCCACGGCUAACUACGUGCCAGCAGCCGCGGUAAUACGUAGGUGGCAAGCGUUGUCCGGAUUUAUUGGGCGUAAAGCGAGCGCAGGCGGUCAAUUAAGUCUGAUGUGAAAGCCCCCGGCUCAACCGGGGAGGGUCAUUGGAAACUGGUUGACUUGAGGGCAGAAGAGGAGAGUGGAAUUCCAUGUGUAGCGGUGAAAUGCGUAGAUAUAUGGAGGAACACCAGUGGCGAAGGCGACUCUCUGGUAUGUAACUGAAGCUGAGGUUCGAAAGCGUGGGUAGCAAACAGG
rnacentral:rRNA from 1 species